rnacentral:rRNA from 1 species
AGAGUUUGAUCCUGGCUCAGGACGAACGCUUGCGGCGUGCCUAAGAAAUGCAAGUCGAACGGGGGCUUCGGCCCCAGUGGCGAACGGUCGCGUAACACGUAAGCAACCUGCCCUGAAGUGGGGGACAACAUCCCGAAAGGGGUGCUAAUACCGCAUGUGGUCACGAGUCGGCAUCGACUUGUGUCUAAAGAUUUAUCGCUUCAGGAUGGGCUUGCGGCCUAUCAGGUAGUUGGUGGGGUAAUGGCCUACCAAGCCGACGACGGGUAGCUGGUCUGAGAGGACGAUCAGCCGGAUUGGGACUGAGAUACGGCCCAGACUCCUACGGGGGGCAGCAAUUAGGAAUCUUGCGCAAUGGGGGAAACCCUGACGCAGCGACGUCGCGUGAAGGAUGAAGGCCCUCGGGUCGUAAACUUCUUUUGAGUGGGAAGAAAUUUGACGGUACCACUCGAAUAAGCCCCGGCUAACUACGUGCCAGCAGCCGCGGUAAUACGUAGGGGGCGAGCGUUGUCCGAAGUUACUGGGCGUAAAGCGCGCGUAGGCGGUUAUUUAAGUCUGGGGUGAAAGGUUCAGCGCUCAACGUGAACAGUGCCUUGGAUACUGGAUGACUUGAGUCUGGGAGGGGGAAGGGGAAUUCCUGGUGUAGCGGUGAAAUGCGUAGAUAUCAGGAGGAACACCGGUGGCGAAGGCGCCUUCCUGGCCUAAGACUGACGCUGAGGUGCGAAAGCGUGGGGAGCAAACGGGAUUAGAUACCCCGGUAGUCCACGCCGUAAACGAUGAGUGCUAGGUGUCGGGGGUAUCGACCCCCCCGGUGCCGUCGCUAACGCAUUAAGCACUCCGCCUGGGGAGUACGGCCGCAAGGUUGAAACUCAAAGGAAUUGACGGGACCCCGCACAAGCGGUGGAGCAUGUUGUUUAAUUCGAAGAUACGCGAAGAACCUUA